AUACGGAGGGUGCGAGCGUUAAGCGGAAUUACUGGGCGUAAAGCGCGCGUAGGUGGUUUGAUAAGUCGGAUGUGAAAGCCCCGGGCUCAACCUGGGAACUGCAUUCGAAACUGUCUGACUAGAGUAUGGUAGAGGGAAGUGGAAUUCCGGGUGUAGCGGUGAAAUGCGUAGAUAUCCGGAGGAACAUCAGUGGCGAAGGCGACUUCCUGGACCAAUACUGACGCUGAGGUGCGAAAGCUAGGGGAGCAAACGGGAUUAGAUACCCCGGUAGUCC
rnacentral:rRNA from 1 species